GCGGGAUUAGUUCAGAGGCAGAACACCAGCUUCCCAAGCUGGAAACACGGGUUCGAAUCCCGUAUCCCGCACCA
rnacentral:tRNA from 1 species